UGCAUGUAUCCAUGCGUGUUAGUGUGAACACACAAGACAGCAACAAAGUAGCAAGCGGAAGUGCACAAUUUGAGGCAAAACAAGGAUGCUGACUUUGAACUAUGUCUUCAAUGUAAAGGCUGCUUAAAUCCUCAGUCAGAAGCCUCUGUGUUUGUCCACACUGUCAGCUAGACGGCCUGAUGAAAGGCAGUCGCUCUGCGGCCGGUCCGUCUGUGCUUUCAGCCCGCAGGCUGUCGUGGAUGCCGCCUUCCCAGAAGGCCGCUGGCUAGCAGCUUGUUACUGUGUCAACUAACUGACCACCCACGACUCUGCCUGCAUGCCUUGGCCUGGCCCCAGAGGCUCAUGGGUAAUCUGUCAUCCAGUGUGUGUGUGAGUAAACAGAAGAAUAUUAAUCUUAUGUUUGCCAAGACCUCAA